rnacentral:rRNA from 1 species
UACGAAGGGGGCUAGCGUUGCUCGGAAUCACUGGGCGUAAAGCGCACGUAGGCGGAUUGUUAAGUCAGGGGUGAAAUCCUGGAGCUCAACUCCAGAACUGCCUUUGAUACUGACGAUCUCGAGUCCGGGAGAGGUGAGUGGAACUGCGAGUGUAGAGGUGAAAUUCGUAGAUAUUCGCAAGAACACCAGUGGCGAAGGCGGCUCACUGGCCCGGUACUGACGCUGAGGUGCGAAAGCGUGGGGAGCAAACGGG